AGAGUUUGAUCCUGGCUCAGGAUGAACGCUAGCGGCAGGCUUAACACAUGCAAGUCGAGGGGCAGCACGGACUUCGGUCUGGUGGCGACCGGCAAACGGGUGCGGAACACGUACGCAACAUACCGCUGACUGGGGCAUAGCCUUCUGAAAAGGAGAUUAACACCCCAUAGUAUCACUGACUGGCAUCAGUCUGGUGAUUAAAAAUUUAUUGGUUAGCGAUUGGCGUGCGUCCUAUUAGCUAGUUGGUAGGGUAACGGCCUACCAAGGCGACGAUAGGUAGCUGGUGUGAGAGCACGACCAGCCACACGGGCACUGAGACACGGGCCCGACUCCUACGGGAGGCAGCAGUGAGGAAUAUUGGUCAAUGGACGCAAGUCUGAACCAGCCAUGCCGCGUGAAGGAUGAAGGCGUUCUGCGUUGUAAACUUCUUUUAUUGGGGAAGAAACCUGGAUUUUCUAAUUCAGCCGACGGUACCCAAGGAAUAAGCACCGGCUAACUCCGUGCCAGCAGCCGCGGUAAUACGGAGGGUGCAAGCGUUAUCCGGAUUUACUGGGUUUAAAGGGUGUGUAGGCGGACUAUUAAGUCAGUGGUGAAAUCUCCGGGCUCAACCCGGAAACUGCCAUUGAUACUAUUAGUCUUGAAUGUUGUGGAGGUGGGCGGAACGGGUCAUGUAGCGGUGAAAUGCAUAGAUAUGACCCGGAACACCGAUUGCGAAGGCAGCCCGCUACGCAACGAUUGACGCUGAGGCACGAAAGCGUGGGGAUCAAACAGGAUUAGAUACCCUCGUAGUCC
rnacentral:rRNA from 1 species